UUGUUGUUGGGGCUUUGCCUUCCAGAGAUUCUUCUGAUAGAUGGGGCUCCUAAAACUUCUUACUUCCUUUUGAUCCAUGAUUCCAGCACUACCUUCCAUAGCUCAGGAAGAAGAUGCUUUGCCCUGGAGCAAAGAGCUGUGCAAAGACUUUCUUGUGGCAGAAUGUGUGACCAUGACUGACAUACUCUCAGGGGCUCAUGAGAAGAAGUCCAAGAAGAAAUACCUUGACUGGUAGAGAAUUCUAGUUGCCUCCGCCUGGAUGAUGGACAGCAGCAUGUGGAAGAAAUCUGUGAGGCAGUGACUAGCCCGGUAGAUUGCUCAAGCAAACGUACACGGCAAUUUUAUUGUCUUUGCCAGUUGUGGCUCUUUGUCUCUGCGUCUGUUCCAUUGUUUGCCAUGCAAGUCACAUAGAAGUCGGAAUAAUAGCUGCUAGGCUGAAAGAAGAGAGACCCCAGCAAUUUGCAUGCAGUCUCAUUUGAACUCUUGGAUUUGGGAAGGCAGUUUUGCUUCCUUUUUUUUUCAAAACUGCUGCUCAGCUUCUUGUGCUUAAUGAGGCUUUUCAGAAGGGAAAACUAGCAAACAACAAAACAUGAAAUCUGCCCUUUAAGCAACUGCUUUCCAAAUUCUUUAUCAGAAUAUAGUUGUGCUAUGAAGCAAGAAGAACCAAUGCUAGAAGUGAGAGAGAAGAGCGUAAAUUUGUUUCUGGAGAAGCCCAAACACAGAACAAAAUGAGUAACAAGGGAGCACAAUUCAGAUGAAGAGUUGGGUAGAGCAUCUAUGUCGAGACACCUGGUGGCCCACUUCAGCUCCAAAGGGACAGUUCUGUGGGGCUUCUCUUGCUGUUUCGGCCUGCAAGCUUUCAGUUUCCUGUGACUUGAGUUCAGCAUCUGACAAAGCCCAGUAUUCACGAUGGAAAUUAAGUACAAAGGCUCAGUGAACAGAUGUUCCUUUCUGCCUUGAAGGAAGAUAAACAUGUAGUUUAAUAGACCGAAACAUAUGUAUUGGAUUCUUCAGAGGUUAAGCAUAUGGAUUCUCUCUGCCCCCUCUAAAUAGAUCUUGUUUAUCUAAAGCCUUGCUCUUGAUUGCCAUGAAAUGCAGGUGACAGCCUUUGCCUUUCUCAGCCCCACUAAAUGGCAGGUGCUGUGGUUCUUUAACCUGUCUCUAUUGGUCCAGGACCUGGAGUCAGACUUGACUAUGCAUUUGGGACAUCAGGAAGUGGUCUUUCUCUCGGAGGCUCACUAUCUUUGGAGUAAGCAGGGUAUAUGUGAGUCUCCCAGGCCUCAGGAUUCUUUUAUUUCCCUCACCCUCACCCCAUGCAUGUGGCCUGUUUCCAGAUUGCACCCCAGUUACCCUGCCGGGGCAGACAUCGUCUAACUCUUGAGGGUCUGGACCUGUCUUCUAUACUCUCAAAUCCUGUUUAGACCUUGCUCUAAAAUCUAACAUCAAUUGGAAAUAGUAUUUUUCCAUCUGUCAGACUCUUCCACAUCCUACCAGAGCAAAGCCCUUUGAGCUCUGAGCUUGCUCUGUGGAAUUACUUUCUGGCCUGUGAUUUGGACUAUUAGCCACCUUUGCCUUGAGUGGUCAGUUCAGUAAUUUGCUUCUCUCUCCUUUGUAUCUUUUCUUGUUUCUUUCUUCUUUCCCCUUACUACCCCCCUCUGGUCUUUUCCCCACUAAUCUCUUAUUUCAAACUUGUGUGACUCCUUCACUCAUUGGUUAUUUUUGAGAGCUCCUCUUUCCACGUGUGCUAGGUCUGAUGGAUCAAAGAUGAGCAAGCAACUCACUGUCUCACAAGCAACUCACUGUCUAAGGAGCAGUUAGACUCCUGACUACAUGGUCACAAUAAAGCUUGGUAAAGCACAAGGAUAGAUAUAUGUGUGAACACAAGAUUACAGGUGGGGAGGGACAUAUAACUCAGUAACCCAUAUGAUGCAAGAAGGACUUUUGGAUGUUAAAGGAUGGGAUGGAUAUCAUGCAAAGGAGACUCCAGAUAGAGAACAAGUGUGAGCAAAGGCUUGGAAAUAAAAAUAGCAUGUUGUAUGUAAGGAGUGAUAAGCAUUUUUAUGAUGUUAGAGAGUAAAGAUAAGUCAGGGAAUAAUGAAGAAUAAAAUUAGAAAGGUAGGUGGGAGCCAUAUUAUGAAGAGCUUUGUAGAUAGGAUGACCAUAUCAUUUUUGCUAAACCAGACACUUAAGUGGUGGAAGAAGUAUCAUUAAUAAUUAUUCUAGGACAGAAAAUAAAAACUAGGACUCAGAAAAACUGGGACAUAUCUUCACCCUAUUUCUAUGACAAUUAGGGAGCUUGGACUUAUGCUGCAAGCAGUGGGUAUUUGUUGAAGCGUUUUGAGUUUGUGGAUGCGGUAUCUGCUCACCCUUCCUGCUGAAGGUAGACAUCUCCUUUGGGACAGUUGUUCCCUUCUACAGUACCAGGUGGGUCAAGGCUGUGUGUAUGACCCAGCCUCUGCCAAGUGGAUGCUCUGGCCCAAGACUUUUCAUUCUGGAGGUGAAAAGGGAAGAGUCCAUGAGCAUGGUGGUGAACUAUGGCACCUCCCGAGGUGGUGGUGUCUAGAGCAGAGUUCUAAGCAGACCAUUCCUGUGGCCCAGUCUUGGCUGUGCAUGGCCUCCCUUGAUAUAUGUUUGUCUUCUGAGCCUGGUUCUCUAGGCUGCACAUGGAUUCUCUGACUUCUCUGUGAUCUUUCCAGCACAUUCCUUCUCUAAUUAAGUAAGCCAGAGUUGGUGUCUCUUUUGUGCAAUUGAGAACAUUCAUUUGUAAAGUGAAGUCACAGCUCAGGCUUGUUUUGGUUGAAUCACCCAGGCAGUUGUGCAUAGGGUAAAAUUGAGGCAGGCAAUUGAACGCACUGCCAUCACAGGCUGGAAUGGUCCUUCUGCCAUGUUCUGAGAGGAGCUAUUAAGACCGUUCACAAUCAUCUUCCUCCCCGAGCAAACCGCAAUGAGAACAAGGCCCUCCCACUUGUGUCCUUCUUGGAGGCCUUGAAGAACCACAAAGAAUGACAAUGGGCAGGAGGUGACCCCGGCUGGCCCUCCAUUGGGCACAUUACUAGCACAGGGUGGGGACUGUAAUAGAGGACUGGGGACGUUUGGCAUGAACUUUUCAAAGCUCAAAUUGUGCCGGCCAUAAAGAAAAGGCACAACAGUCUUGCAGUCUCCAGGGCUGCUCCUUAUGUGAGUAGUAAUUUCUCUUCAAGAAGAUGGGAUGGAAAGCUGCAUUAAGUAAGUAUAAGUAAAGACACCGUUUUGAUCCGAUCUUUAAAGGAUUGGCUUAAAAAAAUUCAGUGUAUGUUUUCUGAACUUGUCUUAAUUAGGAAAAUUACUGGAGCUGUGCUUCCCACAGUUUUCCUUGUGGUUUAUGCAUACCCUUUGUAAUCUGUUAAGGUGUAUGGCAUUACCAGGCAUUUGAAGCCCCAGAUUUAAUCAAUAGUCAUUUCCCUGCUUCAGCAAUUUUGCAUAGUACUGUGUCUGUUAAGCAGUAUUUUAGUGCAUUGUCUGACCUUUGCCUCUUAGACUGUACUUCCUAAUUGUAACUCCUCCCAUUUUGCUGAUAUAUAUCUAAGGACAAAGGCUUUAAUAGCACUUGUGAAAUUUCCCCAAAGAAUCACAGAAAAAUGUCCUAAUGUGUGGAAAUCAGUGUUGUCCAUGAGUUUGGAUCUGGGCAGAGUUUGGGCUGGCAGUCUGUGCCUUCUCUUGCUACAUAACCCCUUAAAAAAAAAAAAAUGUUAAAGCAUCCCAAAUGUGCUAUUUAGGAUUCUGGCUCACCCCUGGGCACAAUCCAAGUUUUGGACUGGCUAGGCCAUCAGAUCUGAGGAAAAUCAUUUGAUUUCUCCACAUGCUCAUGUUUUCCUGUUGAAAAGCUGUGCUGAUAAUCCAGGCUGUCUCACUGACAAACUCUCCUAGUGGCGGAAGUCUAAAUCUUAAGGGACCCAUGGGGAUGGGGAUUUUCUCAUGGCACACCAUUCUUGUUAGCAUUGUAAGUGCUCAGACCCUUGUGCUGUUUGUCAGUAGAUCUGCAUCUGGGAGGAUAUUAAGAGGCCCAUCCAAGUGGCCUUUGUCACCUCUCUGAGUCAAAUGGGAAAGAAACACUAGGCUAGCAGAUUUGGCAACUGAUAGGCUUUAUUUCCAGAGCAACUUCUCAGUAUGAGUCAUACCUGGGAGUUUGAUAGGUCACCUUGCUCUCAGCUCCGAAGUGAGAAUUUUGCUCAUGGGUGUGCCUCCAGUUCAGUCAAGCUAAUGUUUGAGCUGCCGUAAUAGCCUCCCUGAUCAUAACUAUGUCUCCAUGUCUCCCUUCUCUGACUUUGAUUCCCCUUUUUGUUUCUAAGCUCAGCUUGGCCCUUUCCCUAUGACAUCUCUAUUUUUUCCAAAUAUGACUCCCUGACCUUCAUCUGACUUGGUUCUUUAGUCCUGUCUGCCCAUGGAGCACAAAGCCUGGAGCUAGGCCUGUAGAGCCAGAAACAACUCAUUUCACUGGGAAAGGUCUCAUUGCUUCCCUCCCAGUCCUGCUGGCUCCAGCACUUUUGUCAUUGUAUUGUCUCAGAGGCAUUUCUCAUGCUCAUACCCUCAGAAGCUUAUACACUGGGCUGGAAUCAUGGCAUUUGCUGUGAACAAAAAGUAUUGGAAAGUGGGACGAGGAAGACCAGCUAUGUGACCUUGACCAGAUUCUUUAACAUCUCUAAGCCUGGGAAUAUUCAUUCUAAAAUAAGAAUAAUGUGAAUACAUUGUUGAGAAGAUUCAGUAAAAUCAUAUAAUGGUACUUCAAAAAGUUCAUGGAAAGAUUCAUAUUAUCUUUUAGUUCUAUUUUUCCAUGAACUUUUAAAAGUACUUUUGUAUAUAAAAUUCUCAGAAGUGUCAAGAACUGUGAAAGAGUGGAGGUUCUAUGCUACUUGUGAGCUGAUAAGUUAGCCUGCUGCACUUUCAUGGAUGCUGGCAAAAGACGAAAGAGAAAAGUGACUUUAUUGCUCAAGCUCAGUGACCUGAGCUCUACUUCCCAUGAGGCAAAGCGAUGAGGGCCAGAUGAUGCCUGCACAUGUAGUGGGUUGCAUUACAGAAAGAAACUCUGAUCUUAGGGAACCCCAAUUUUUUAUAAUGGGCAGUAAGGAAAACUUUUCCUUUACUUGGGAAGAAGACAAUCUAUCUUCCAAGUCCUUUAGCUAUAUAAACAUCGUAGGAAAAACAAUCUAGAACUAAAGCAGCCCAGGGCCUCUGUUUGCAAGAUGUGCAGGAAUGCAAAAGAACUGUUGAGAAUUGUUUCCCACAACACAGUACGUGGCAUCUGAUAAGCUCAAUGAAUUUUAGCUGUCGUUAUUAUUAAUAAAGUACUUAAUGUAGUACCUAGCAUAUAAUAAGUUCUUAGCACAAUGGUGGCUAUAAAGAGCUGGACCUUUCUUGAAAAUAAUGGGACUCAAUUUCUGCCAGUGAGCCACUGAAUGUAUAUUCAGAACCGAUUUCAGAGUCUGAUACACAGUAGACAUUCAAUAUUUAUUACUGAAUAAGUAAAUAAUAUAUUAUUUCAUAGUGAUAACACUUUGAAAAUUGCACUAUCCAAAUGUAGGAUGUGAUUAUCAGGCUGCAAAUCAUGUAUCUUUUUCUUCUCUCCCUUCUAUCAUGCAAUUUUUUCCCCAGAAUAUUUUGCUUAUAGUAGGCUCUUACAAAUAGUGUUUGAAAGAUUAAUAGCAAAAUAAAUAAAAUGCACAGACCAUCCUCAAAUUUUGAUUAUAGCGGUGUGUUACACUGCUUUCCCACCACAUACAGUAUCUACCUGAUGAAAAGGUGAAGUAAUUAGGAUUUUAAAUUUCUCUCCAUACUCGGGUGGAGGUACUGUAAAAUGGUCAAAUGUAUUCCUUGCCAUGCUCUUGUGAAAGUUCUGAGAAUAUUAAAAUGGCUAAAAAGGUAAACAGCAAGAGAGAGUAGAAUUAAAAAUAUAAAUAACACAUAAACUGGAUAAGCAGCUUUAGAAUAAAUUGAAAGUUGACAUAAGCUCAGGAAUAGAACUCUUAUUAUUUUUCCCAUGGCAGUUUACCAAAAUUCAUCUGCAUUUCACAAUGAAAAAUAUUCACCAAAUCAUUCCUAGGCAUAAAUCUUCUUAAUUUCUGAAAUUAAAAUCUCCAGAGAAAACUCGGGAGUCACAUGAAACCGAUGGCUCAAGCCUAGUCGGUGUUUCCCAUUGUCUGGUUUUAAAGAAGGGCCUGUUUGGCUGGGGUCAGAGAAGAGUCACAGGCUGAUGAUGGAAGAUUUGGGUGGUGGGAGAAGAGGCCAGGAAUAGGGUGAGAGCAGGACAGCAGAGGGCAGUAGGCUUGUUUCUCCCCACAGGCCUUUCCUGUGUCUCUGGGAAGGUCUUUGUCUGCUGAUGUCCAGAUUCCCUUGUCUGCAAAUCAGGGAAGGUGCUGCUGUGUACUUUAAAGAAGUGGAAAUGGAUGUGCUGAGGUCAAGCACAGAAGGUCAGACUGAUAUUAUUAUUGCACAGUUUUGGUAUUCAUAAGGUCACGGUACCAGGCUGCUGUCUGUCAGUUUGGUUAGAUUUUUGGGGAUCCUGAGGCAAGUAAUGAAUUAAAAAGUAAUAAUGUUCUGUGGACCACCUGCUGUUCUUUAAACCAGAGUUAAAUUUCCUUCGAUAAUUUCUUUUCUAUUAAUAAUUUUUUCCUCUGUUGAGAACUCUUUGAAAAACUGCUGACUUGGCAGCUGAAAAUAUUUUCUUGGCAAGCCCUUUGAAACUGUAAUUGUAUUAA